rnacentral:sRNA from 3 species
ACGUAAACGCGUGAGGGAUAGAGGCGAUAUCCUUUUGUGAAGUGGAACGGAACAAAAGAUAAAACCGAAAGCCCGAUUCGCC